GACGAACGCUGGCGGCGUGCUUAACACAUGCAAGUCGAACGAAGUGGCGAACGGGUGAGUAACGCGUAAUCAACCUGCCCUUCAGAGGGGGACAACAGUUGAAAACGACUGCUAAUCCCGCAUACUGAAGGAGGGGAUUGCGUCUGAUUGGCUAGUUGGAGGGGUAACGGCCCACCAAGGCGAUGAUCAGUAGCCGGUCUGAGGGGAUGAACGGCCACAUUGGGACUGGGACACGGCCCAGACUCCUACGGGAGGCAGCAGGGGGGAAUCUUCCGCAAUGGGAGAAAGUCUGACGGGGCAACGCCGCGUGAGUGAUGAAGGCCUUCGGGUUGUAAAGCUCUGUUAAUCGGGACGCGGUACCGGAAUAGAAAGCCACGGCUAACUACGUGCCAGCAGCCGCGGUAAUUC
rnacentral:rRNA from 1 species